AAAUUGAAGAGUUUGAUCAUGGCUCAGAUUGAACGCUGGCGGCAGGCCUAACACAUGCAAGUCGAACGGUAGCACAGAGAGCUUGCUCUCGGGUGACGAGUGGCGGACGGGUGAGUAAUGUCUGGGAAACUGCCUGAUGGAGGGGGAUAACUACUGGAAACGGUAGCUAAUACCGCAUAACGUCGCAAGACCAAAGAGGGGGACCUUCGGGCCUCUUGCCAUCAGAUGUGCCCAGAUGGGAUUAGCUAGUAGGUGGGGUAACGGCUCACCUAGGCGACGAUCCCUAGCUGGUCUGAGAGGAUGACCAGCCACACUGGAACUGAGACACGGUCCAGACUCCUACGGGAGGCAGCAGUGGGGAAUAUUGCACAAUGGGCGCAAGCCUGAUGCAGCCAUGCCGCGUGUAUGAAGAAGGCCUUCGGGUUGUAAAGUACUUUCAGCGGGGAGGAAGGUGUUGUGGUUAAUAACCACAGCAAUUGACGUUACCCGCAGAAGAAGCACCGGCUAACUCCGUGCCAGCAGCCGCGGUAAUACGGAGGGUGCAAGCGUUAAUCGGAAUUACUGGGCGUAAAGCGCACGCAGGCGGUCUGUCAAGUCGGAUGUGAAAUCCCCGGGCUCAACCUGGGAACUGCAUUCGAAACUGGCAGGCUAGAGUCUUGUAGAGGGGGGUAGAAUUCCAGGUGUAGCGGUGAAAUGCGUAGAGAUCUGGAGGAAUACCGGUGGCGAAGGCGGCCCCCUGGACAAAGACUGACGCUCAGGUGCGAAAGCGUGGGGAGCAAACAGGAUUAGAUACCCUGGUAGUCCACGCCGUAAACGAUGUCGACUUGGAGGUUGUUCCCUUGAGGAGUGGCUUCCGGAGCUAACGCGUUAAGUCGACCGCCUGGGGAGUACGGCCGCAAGGUUAAAACUCAAAUGAAUUGACGGGGGCCCGCACAAGCGGUGGAGCAUGUGGUUUAAUUCGAUGCAACGCGAAGAACCUUACCUACUCUUGACAUCCAGAGAACUUUCCAGAGAUGGAUUGGUGCCUUCGGGAACUCUGAGACAGGUGCUGCAUGGCUGUCGUCAGCUCGUGUUGUGAAAUGUUGGGUUAAGUCCCGCAACGAGCGCAACCCUUAUCCUUUGUUGCCAGCGGUCCGGCCGGGAACUCAAAGGAGACUGCCAGUGAUAAACUGGAGGAAGGUGGGGAUGACGUCAAGUCAUCAUGGCCCUUACGAGUAGGGCUACACACGUGCUACAAUGGCGCAUACAAAGAGAAGCGACCUCGCGAGAGCAAGCGGACCUCAUAAAGUGCGUCGUAGUCCGGAUUGGAGUCUGCAACUCGACUCCAUGAAGUCGGAAUCGCUAGUAAUCGUAGAUCAGAAUGCUACGGUGAAUACGUUCCCGGGCCUUGUACACACCGCCCGUCACACCAUGGGAGUGGGUUGCAAAAGAAGUAGGUAGCUUAACCUUCGGGAGGGCGCUUACCACUUUGUGAUUCAUGACUGGGGUGAAGUCGUAACAAGGUAACCGUAGGGGAACCUGCGGUUGGAUCACCUCCUUACCUUAAAGAA
rnacentral:rRNA from 1 species